rnacentral:rRNA from 1 species
GAGGGUGCGAGCGUUAAUCGGAUUUACUGGGCGUAAAGCGUGCGUAGGUGGCUUAUUAAGUCGGAUGUGAAAUCCCCGAGCUUAACUUGGGAAUUGCAUUCGAUACUGGUGAGCUAGAGUAUGGGAGAGGAUGGUAGAAUUCCAGGUGUAGCGGUGAAAUGCGUAGAGAUCUGGAGGAAUACCGAUGGCGAAGGCAGCCAUCUGGCCUAAUACUGACGCUGAGGUACGAAAGCAUGGGGAGCAA